rnacentral:rRNA from 1 species
CCAGACUCCUACGGGAGGCAGCAGUGAGGAAUAUUGGUCAAUGGGCGAGAGCCUGAACCAGCCAAGUCGCGUGAGGGAAGACGGUCCUAUGGAUUGUAAACCUCUUUUGUCGGGGAGCAAAAAGGCCUCGUGAGGCCACAAGUGAGAGUACCCGAAGAAAAAGCAUCGGCUAACUCCGUGCCAGCAGCCGCGGUAAUACGGAGGAUGCGAGCGUUAUCCGGAUUUAUUGGGUUUAAAGGGUGCGUAGGCGGACAGUCAAGUCAGCGGUAAAAAUGCGGUGCUCAACGCCGUACAGCCGUUGAAACUGGCAGUCUUGAGUGGGCGAGAAGUAUGCGGAAUGCGUGGUGUAGCGGUGAAAUGCAUAGAUAUCACGCAGAACUCCGAUUGCGAAGGCAGCUUACUAAACUAUAACUGACACUGAAGCACGAAAGCGUGGGGAUCAAACAGGAUUAGAUACCCUCGUA